rnacentral:rRNA from 2 species
CGCUGGCGGCGUGCCUAUACAUGCAAGUCGAACGAACUCUGGUAUUGAUUGGUGCUUGCAUCAUGAUUUACAUUUGAGUGAGUGGCGAACUGGUGAGUAACACGUGGGAAACCUGCCCAGAAGCGGGGGAUAACACCUGGAAACAGAUGCUAAUACCGCAUAACAACUUGGACCGCAUGGUCCGAGUUUGAAAGAUGGCUUCGGCUAUCACUUUUGGAUGGUCCCGCGGCGUAUUAGCUAGAUGGUGAGGUAACGGCUCACCAUGGCAAUGAUACGUAGCCGACCUGAGAGGGUAAUCGGCCACAUUGGGACUGAGACACGGCCCAAACUCCUACGGGAGGCAGCAGUAGGGAAUCUUCCACAAUGGACGAAAGUCUGAUGGAGCAACGCCGCGUGAGUGAAGAAGGGUUUCGGCUCGUAAAACUCUGUUGUUAAAGAAGAACAUAUCUGAGAGUAACUGUUCAGGUAUUGACGGUAUUUAACCAGAAAGCCACGGCUAACUACGUGCCAGCAGCCGCGGUAAUACGUAGGUGGCAAGCGUUGUCCGGAUUUAUUGGGCGUAAAGCGAGCGCAGGCGGUUUUUUAAGUCUGAUGUGAAAGCCUUCGGCUCAACCGAAGAAGUGCAUCGGAAACUGGGAAACUUGAGUGCAGAAGAGGACAGUGGA